rnacentral:rRNA from 1 species
UACGGAGGAUGCAAGCGUUAUCCGGAAUUAUUGGGCGUAAAGCGUCCGUAGGUGGUGGUUCAAGUCUGCUGUCAAAAAACUGGGGCUUAACCCUAGAGCGGCGGUGGAAACUGAACUGCUAGAGUGUGGUAGGGGCAGAGGGAAUUCCCGGUGUAGCGGUGAAAUGCGUAGAGAUCGGGAAGAACACCCGGUGGCGAAAGCCGCUCUGCUGGA